GCAUAUCAAUAAGCGGAGGAAAAGAAACCAACAGGGAUUGCCCCAGUAACGGCGAGUGAAGCGGCAACAGCUCAAAUUUGAAAUCUGGCCCCUCGGGGUCCGAGUUGUAAUUUGUAGAGGAUGCUUUUGGUGAGGUGCCGCCCGAGUUCCCUGGAACGGGACGCCACAGAGGGUGAGAGCCCCGUCUGGCUGGCCACCGAGCCUCUGUAAAGCUCCUUCGACGAGUCGAGUAGUUUGGGAAUGCUGCUCAAAAUGGGAGGUAUAUGUCUUCUAAAGCUAAAUAUUGGCCAGAGACCGAUAGCGCACAAGUAGAGUGAUCGAAAGAUGAAAAGCACCUUGAAAAGAGGGUUAAAUAGUACGUGAAAUUGUUGAAAGGGAAGCGCUUGUGACCAGACUUGGGCGCGGCGGAUCAUCCGGGGUUCUCUCCGGUGCACUUCGCCGCGUCUAGGCCAGCAUCAGUUCGUCGCGGGGGAAAAAGGUUUCGGGAACGUGGCUCCUCCGGGAGUGUUAUAGCCCGUUGCAUAAUACCCUGCGGUGGACUGAGGACCGCGCAUCUGCAAGGAUGCUGGCGUAAUGGUCACCAGCGACCCGUCUUGAAACACGGACC
rnacentral:rRNA from 1 species